UUAGCUAUUAUACUUAACAAAUUUCUAAAAUAAAUUAAAACCCUACCUUAAUACUGAAUAAUUCCAUAUAUAUAUGGAAGCUAUUAUGUUAAAACAAGUAACAUGAAGAUACCUUCUCUUAAAUGUAAACUUAAGUCAGACCGGAUAAAACACUGACAAUUAACAGCUUAAACUAAAGUGAUAACCCAACAAGAAAAUCUCACUAUUAACUCAUCUGUUAACCUAACACAAGAACAUUUUAAGAAAGACUUAAAGAGAAAGAAGGAACUCGGCAAAAAUUGAUUCCGCCUGUUUACCAAAAACAUCGCCUCCUGAAUAAAUCAUAAGAGGUCCAGCCUGCCCAGUGACUCUGUUNAACGGCCGCGGUAUC
rnacentral:rRNA from 1 species